rnacentral:rRNA from 1 species
UUCGUAGGCGGUUCGUCGCGUCCGGUGUGAAAGUCCAUCGCUUAACGGUGGAUCCGCGCCGGGUACGGGCGGGCUUGAGUGCGGUAGGGGAGACUGGAAUUCCCGGUGUAACGGUGGAAUGCGUAGACAUCGGGAGGAACACCAGUGGCGAAGGCGACCUACUGGGCACCAACUGACGCUGAGGCUCGAAAGUGUGGGUAGCAAACA